GGAGGGCGCAAGCGUUGUUCGGAAUCAUUGGGCGUAAAGCGCGUGUAGGCGGCUUGGCAAGUCGGGUGUGAAAGCCCGGGGCUCAACCCCGGAAUUGCACUCGAUACUGCCUCGCUAGAGUCCCGGAGAGGGUGGCGGAAUUCCCGGUGUAGAGGUGAAAUUCGUAGAUAUCGGGAGGAACACCAGCGGCGAAGGCGGCCACCUGGACGGCGACUGACGCUGAGACGCGAAAGCGUGGGGAGCAAACAGGAUUAGAUACCCUGGUAGUCCACGCCGUAAACGUUGGGUGCUAGGCGCUGCGGGUAUUGACCCCCUGCAGUGCCGACGUUAACGCAUUAAGCACCCCGCCUGGGGGAGUACGGUCGCAAGAUUA
rnacentral:rRNA from 1 species